rnacentral:lncRNA from 1 species
ACCAGACAAGAAAUCAGCCCUUCUGCCCCAAAGGAAAGCACCUCAGAAGAGCCGUCCAGCAGUGUUGUUCUGCUGCAGACUCCUGCGGGGUAGUGUGUGGCCCUUCCAGGGGAGGACACCGCAGGUCCCUGGGAGUGGAGUCCUGAGAGGCGCGAGCCGGGAGACGUGGCAGCCCUCAAGCCUGGGGGAAGGGGUCUGGGGGAGCCUUGUGUCCUAGCCCUGAUCUCCCAGCUCAUCCAGCGACUCCUGAACAGCCAGGUCCCCACAUGUGGAGAACACCCAGAAGGAGGCAGAAGCUGGACUCAAAGGUAAAUGCACAACAGAAAAUCUGUGCAAAAGAGAAACUCUGCAGAUGCCGGGAAUGUGAAGAGCCUGGCCAAUGUCGCCGGUGUGGAAAAGGCUUCCGGAACAGCUCUGCGCUCACCAAGCACUGGAGGGUCCCCCCCCCGGGAAGAAGCCCUAUCGGUGCCCUCGGUGUGGCCGGACCUUCAACCAGAUGGCCCCGCUGACCCAGCACAGGAGGACGCACGGGGCGCCAAGCCCCACGCGUGCGGGGACCGUGGGAAGGCUUCGGUUUCAGCCGGUCCCUCUCCCAGCGCCAGCGCGCGCACUCGGGCCACAAGCCCUACGCCUGCCGCAAGUGCGGCAAGACCUUCAGCCGGGCCACCCAACUUGUCCAGCACCAGGGGGUCCACCCCGGGAGAGGCCGAACGAAUGCAGCCAGUGCGCGCGGCAGCGCCUUCAGCCAGAGCCACCGUCUCGUCGGGCACCGCAGGACCCGCCGGGGGGAAGCCCGAGGCGUGCUGCGGCCACCUCCUCCCCGGGGAAGCCCUGCGCCUGCGGGGACUGAGGGAAGGCCUUCGCCCACAGCUCCUCCCCGACCCAGCACCCAGAACUCUCACUGGGGAGACGGCUGCAUGGGUGCUGGGGACAGGGGAGGCCUUAAGCCACAGCUCGUCCCACUCAGACUCGGCCUGUUCCUUCUCACAAGAUGCAGCACCCACUCCUCGUUCUCAGACGGAAAUGCCUAGCGCCACCAAGGGUUAGGUUCUAAACAGCAGGGAAAGGUGGAAACCAUCAACCUUGAGGACCCCGAGCCUCGAGAAGAGAAGAGAAAAAAGGAAUGUCUGGGCCUGGUGAUGCCACGCGUCCAAGCAUUCAACAGACUGAACCAGAGAUUCAAAGGCCUGAGAAAUUCAACAGACACCUUUCAGGUAAGAAAACCAAAUGAAGUCAGAAUUUGCUGUUGUUUACAUUAUAUUCUUUCUUAAAGGGAUGUUUAUGAAUAUUCAGGUUGACUCUGAUAAUCCUAAAGAACAGCAGCAUGUUCCAAAAAUGAGAAUGGCAUUUUUGUGGAAUCCCUUGGAUACUUGUCUUUGACAGUACAAAGCUGGUUUGUGUGUAAGUUGCUUGUUCUGGGUAUGUAACAGCCAAUCCCAGACACUUCUAAUUCCAUAUGCCAAUGUAUCAGCAUACUAUAAACAGAAUUUACAUCCCUCAUCUCGUUUUGCAAUUUAAUUUCUAUGUGCAAUGGGAUUGAAAAGCUGUGUAUGGGAAGACUUGAAACAUAAAGCUGCUUCCAUGGAAUGUCUCAAGAUUCUGAGAGGGCUUUGCUGCAGGACUCACAGGCAUUAGAAAUGCUGAUAUUACGAAAAGGGGAGGGUUUACUCCUUUGUUCAGCCAUCAUCUCAUGCUCAGUGGCACUUCACAUUGGUACUCUGUUUUGUUCUAAGA